rnacentral:rRNA from 1 species
GAAGACGAGAGUAAGGCGUAGGCAUCUGUCCAUGGGUGGGGGAUAACUCCGGGAAACUGGAGCUAAUACCGCAUGACACCUGAGGGUCAAAGGCGCGAGUCGCCUGUGGAGGAACCUGCGUUCGAUUAGCUAGUUGGUGGGGUAACUGCCUACCAAGGCGAUGAUCGAUAGCUGGUCUGAGAGGAUGAUCAGCCACACUGGGACUGAGACACGGCCCAGACUCCUACGGGAGGCAGCAGUGGGGAAUAUUGGACAAUGGGCGCAAGCCUGAUCCAGCAAUGCCGCGUGUGUGAAGAAGGUCUUCGGAUUGUAAAGCACUUUCGACGGGGACGAUGAUGACGGUACCCGUAGAAGAAGCCCCGGCUAACUUCGUGCCAGCAGCCGCGGUAAUACGAAGGGGGCUAGCGUUGCUCGGAAUGACUGGGCGUAAAGGGCGCGUAGGCGGUUUGGACAGUCAGAUGUGAAAUUCCUGGGCUUAACCUGGGGGCUGCAUUUGAUACGUACAGACUAGAGUGUGAGAGAGGGUUGUGGAAUUCCCAGUGUAGAGGUGAAAUUCGUAGAUAUUGGGAAGAACACCGGUGGCGAAGGCGGCAACCUGGCUCAUAACUGACGCUGAGGCGCGAAAGCGUGGGGAGCAAACAGGAUUAGAAC